UGGUACUGGCUUCCCACAGAAGCCAUUCUGGCUUCCAGAGGAGGCAUGCACAGUUGCAAGCAUAGGUAUUUUUUUAAGCUGUUUCAGUUCCUUUUUCUUUGGAGCAUGUAUCCAGCUGGUGGCACGACUCUUGUGUCUUUUCUCCUUUCCACAAGGACAGUUCGAGUUAUUGUCCAAGAAACACCCAGCGGGUUGCCCAGUGUUGUGUUGCGCUUAGCUUGCAGAGGAAUCCUGUGGAUGCCUCUGUGGUGAUGCUGCUGUAGGGGUGCAGCAUGCACCUCUCACCCUACAGGAGCCAAUGAAAGACUUGGCUCAUCUGUCCUUGGGUUUGCCUGUCCCACUCCCCCCAGCUUCUGGCUUCGUGCUUUUGGAACCUCCAGUGUUACUGCCCAGCGUGGAGGAAUACAGCUCCACUUCUAGCAAAUGAAAAUGUAUCAUCACAACACUGAAUUAAGGGUCAAGGAAAAUAGCACUGGAAAGAAGCUGGAUACACUGAAGAUACUCAAGACGGAUGGACCGCAACCUCUUGCAUCCAUACCUGUGUCAAAGGAAAAAGGUAUGAGUUAAAUGGAAGCAUGAGUUUUGUCUUUGCCAAACCAGUAUUCUUUCUAGACACUAAGCAAAAAAUUUUAUUGUACAUUUUUAUUUCUGACAAGCAAUGAAAAUUUAGAAUAGAUUUACCAAAACUACAGUAAAUAUUGUAAAACUAUAGAAAUGCCUUGCAAAACACUGAAACUGUACAAAUGAUCCUUACUUUCAAGGUAAUACUAAAAAAAAGGGUAAAAAAAUCUAAUGCUUUUAAUACCAAUCUACAUUAUAAUUUACCAGUUCAAUAAAAGGAAGUUUGCCAUGCGUAAGUGCAUGGAAAACCGUUAACUGCUUUUUUUUUUUUUAUUACCUUAUUGCCAUACAACAUCCAAGUAUUCUUUUUUCUCCCCAUCAAUAAGUACUGAAUUCAUGCAAAGACAAGCUGUGACAGCUGCUGGGUGUCAACUGCACAUUUAGUAAUGAUUCACUACACUAAGGCAGAGAUGCAUUUGUACUAUGGCCAGUAUAGAGAGGAUUCUGUCAUUGACUGGGGAGCCUAUAUAAGCAGCAACAAAAUAAUAAGAGAUUCAGUUUUAACCUACUAGCUAGCCUGGGAAUCAGGAUCUGAUCACUGCUAGUGCCAUCUCCACCCUCCGUUGUUGCUUUUACUUCUAUAAUGUAAUCUUCAUUAAACUGGAGCACAAGUUCAGCUGUUGUCUUGUCUGUGUUCAGCACGUUCAUAUUGCUCUGACUGAUG